CCCAAGUUUGUGUUUGAUAGUUCCUGAUCCAGGUACUGUUUGUGCAAGACAGCAAUGCCUGGGCACAGUCUGUAGGACAACAUGGGUCUACUCUUCCCAUUGAGAUGGUGGCCAUCUUGUUUUUGACUUGUUUUGGAGAAGAGAGUGUUCCUGUGUAGAUGAAAGCUGUGAUGUGCAGCUUGCCCUUAAGGACAGGGAACAGAACACAGUUAGUUUUAUUUAGUGAUACACCUUAUGAGAUUAGGAUAAUCUUAAUGAUGGAGAUGUUUCUGGGAAUAUCUUAGAUGAUCUCAGUAAAGUACUGGUAGGGGCCAUUAAUAACUACAAAACCCAAACUGGUAGGAAUCUUCCACAUGGUGUAUUCUGGACUUCUUGAAUAUAACUUAACCUUUGGCCCUUCUCAAAUUAAUGUGCUCUGAAUUCACUUGUUCAUAUUUGUGCUUGUUGUUCUCUGAUUGCACCUGGUGUAAUUAGGUCUUGAGUAAUCAUAGGAAGAUGGGACCAUAUCAUCAGAUGGCAUCUGAGCUAAUCAGCCUCCACUUUGAAGGAGCACUUGGACCACUGCUCUCUUUGGGUGACUCCAUCAUUGGACCACUGCUCUCAAAGAGUGGUCAGACACUGGAAUGGGCUGCCCAGACAGGUGGUGGAGUCACCGACCCUGGAGGUGUUCAAGGAACGUUUGGACGUUGUGUUGAAGGACGUGGUUUAAUGAGAACUAUUGGUGAUGGGUGGAUGGUUGGAUUGGAUGAUCUUGUAGCUCAUUUCCAACCUUGGUGAUUCUAUGUUUCUAUGGCCAAGUUCCAUUAAUGUUCCCCAGAUCAAUCAACUCACAAGUACAGAUGAAGUGAAUACCACACUGUUAGUGAUGCCUGGCACUGUUUUGGCCCAGGGCAACUAUCACAUGCAUAGGCAUGCCAUCUUGGAAGGUGGUAUGGGUAGGUACUGUUCUGUGUGUCGUUGAGAUGUGAUCAGGUCUUUCUAGGGGAUGAGUCACCUGGUGUACUUCGGGCGGCUUCCUCAGAAUGAGACAAGGAAGUUCAAGGAGGGCACUGGCAUGAAGUAUCUUCUGUAAAGAGGAUGAUCAAGUCAUGACUUUCCAGAUUAGAAAGAAAGAUUUGUGAGAAAGAUAUGUGAGAAAGGCAUAUAAAAGCCAGCAAAGAAGUAGUGAUCAGUUGUCCACUGCCUUUGCCAGUGCAGGAAGAGGAAAACUAGCAAGUAGCAGGUUCAAAGGAAACAAAACGUUGUUUUUGAAGCUAUGUGUGACAACAUAGUGGAAUUGUAUCUCACAGGAUGUUGUAAACGCUAACAUUUUGCAAGGGAUCAAGGGAAUGUGGAGAAUGUAAUGGAAAUGAAGGACAUCAAGGGUAUUAUAUGUAUGAUAUACAAAUAUAUCAUUUCUGUCUCAGUUGGAAUUGCUGGAGAUCAAAAGAGUGUUCUAAGGAAGUGUCUUAAUGUGUUUGCUUUAUCCUAGUUUCCUGACAGGUCUGUUUGGACAAUCCUCAGGACCAGCACAUCGGUCUAGAUCAGACAUGUCCAACCUGCAGCCUGCAAGCUGCACACAGCCCAGGACAGCCAGUAAUGCGACCCCACAAGAACAUAAACUUUUAACAUUAUUACGUGUUCUUUAGUGAUGAUUUUAAUCCAGGGCUGCAUGGGAAUGGUUGACCACCCAGCAUGGCAGGCAAGCUGAGGCAGAAAUACAGAUAGGGGCCCACAGCCUUUCUGAGCUGACGUACGCACUCAGAUGAACCUCCCAAGGAACAAGAGAGUUGCCCAGACCUUCAGGUGUGGGAAGCUCUGGAAUCUAGAGAUCACACGAGGGAUUGAGGUAGGUGAGGGUUGGUGUGGUUGCAGUUGUGCCCAACUUGAUAAUCUUUCUGAGCAGCUGAACAGGCUGUGAGAGGAAGUUGCCAGGCUGAGAGGUAUUCAGCAGUCUGAGAGAUUGAUGCCUGGUAUCGUGGUGGUGUGGGCAGACAGACUGCCUGGUCUUGAAGCCGAACCAGGGGAGGAAGAUGAGCAGGCUUCCCACCUGACAGAGAGUAAACGUGCAGGGUGAGGGAGGCUGGACCUUUGUCUCUCCAUAGGACAAAAGGAG
ensembl:lncRNA